GUGCCAGCAGCCGCGGUAAUACGGAGGGUGCAAGCGUUAUCCGGAAUCAUUGGGUUUAAAGGGUGCGCAGGCGGAAUUUUAAGUCAGUGGUGAAAUCCCUUCGCUUAACGAAGGAACUGCCAUUGAUACUGAAAUUCUUGAAUUUGGUUGGCGUGGGCGGAAUGUGCCAUGUAGCGGUGAAAUGCUUAGAUAUGGCACAGAACACCGAUCGCGAAGGCAGCUCACGAAACCAUUAUUGACGCUCAGGCACGAAAGCAUGGGGAGCAAACAGGAUUAGAUACCCCCGUAGUCC
rnacentral:rRNA from 1 species